rnacentral:misc_RNA from 1 species
GAUGAAGAACGUAGCGAAAUGCGAUACGUAAUGUGAAUUGCAAAUUCAGUGAAUCAUCGAGUCUUUGAACGCACAUUGCGCCCCCUGGUAUUCCGGGGGGCAUGCCUGUCCGAGCGUCAUUGCUGCCCUCAAGCACGGCUUGUGUGUUGGGCCCCGUCCUCCGAUCCCGGGGGACGGGCCCGAAAGGCAGCGGCGGCACCGCGUCCGGUCCUCGAGCGUAUGGGGCUUUGUCACCCGCUCUGUAGGCCCGGCCGGCGCUUGCCGAUCAACCCAAAUUUUUAUCCAGGUUGACCUCGGAUCAGGUAGGGAUACCCGCUGUACUUAAGCAUAUCAAUAAGCGGAGGA